GAGUAAUGCUUAGGAAUCUGCCUAUUAGUGGGGGACAACAUUUCGAAAGGAAUGCUAAUACCGCAUACGUCCUACGGGAGAAAGCAGGGGAUCUUCGGACCUUGCGCUAAUAGAUGAGCCUAAGUCGGAUUAGCUAGUUGGUGGGGUAAAGGCCUACCAAGGCGACGAUCUGUAGCGGGUCUGAGAGGAUGAUCCGCCACACUGGGACUGAGACACGGCCCAGACUCCUACGGGAGGCAGCAGUGGGGAAUAUUGGACAAUGGGCGCAAGCCUGAUCCAGCCAUGCCGCGUGUGUGAAGAAGGCCUUAUGGUUGUAAAGCACUUUAAGCGAGGAGGAGGCUACUGAAGUUAAUACCUUCAGAUAGUGGACGUUACUCGCAGAAUAAGCACCGGCUAACUCUGUGCCAGCAGCCGCGGUAAUACAGAGGGUGCAAGCGUUAAUCGGAUUUACUGGGCGUAAAGCGCGCGUAGGCGGCUAAUUAAGUCAAAUGUGAAAUCCCCGAGCUUAACUUGGGAAUUGCAUUCGAUACUGGUUAGCUAGAGUGUGGGAGAGGAUGGUAGAAUUCCAG
rnacentral:rRNA from 1 species